rnacentral:rRNA from 1 species
GUGAGUAGUUCAGAGUUUGAUCCUGGCUCAGGAUGAACGCUGGCGGCGUGCCUAAUACAUGCAAGUCGAACGAAGUACUUCGGUACUUAGUGGCGAACGGGUGAGUAAUACGUAAGCAACCUGCCUAUGGGACUGGGAUAACGUUUGGAAACGGACGCUAAUACCGGAUAGGUAGAGGAGAGGCAUCUCUUCUCUAUUAAAGUUUAGAUACACCGAUAGAUGGGCUUACGGCGCAUUAGCUAGUUGGUGAGGUAACGGCUCACCAAGGCGAUGAUGCGUAGCCGGACUGAGAGGUUGAACGGCUACAUUGGGACUGAGACACGGCCCAA